rnacentral:rRNA from 1 species
CGGGACACGUGGUAUCCUGUCUGAAUAUGGGGGGACCAUCCUCCAAGGCUAAAUACUCCUGACUGACCGAUAGUGAACCAGUACCGUGAGGGAAAGGCGAAAAGAACCCCGGCGAGGGGAGUGAAAAAGAACCUGAAACCGUGUACGUACAAGCAGUGGGAGCACAGAGCAAUCUGUGUGACUGCGUACCUUUUGUAUAAUGGGUCAGCGACUUAUAUUCUGUAGCAAGGUUAACCGAAUAGGGGAGCCGAAGGGAAACCGAGUCUUAACCGGGCGUUAAGUUGCAGGGUAUAGACCCGAAACCCGGUGAUCUAGCCAUGGGCAGGUUGAAGGUUGGGUAACACUAACUGGAGGACCGAACCGACUAAUGUUGAAAAAUUAGCGGAUGACUUGUGGCUGGGGGUGAAAGGCCAAUCAAACCGGGAGAUAGCUGGUUCUCCCCGAAAGCUAUUUAGGUAGCGCCUCGUGAAUUCAUCUCCGGGGGUAGAGCACUGUUUCGGCAAGGGGGUCAUCCCGACUUACCAACCCGAUGCAAACUGCGAAUACCGGAGAAUGUUAUCACGGGAGACACACGGCGGGUGCUAACGUCCGUCGUGAAGAGGGAAACAACCCAGACCGCCAGCUAAGGUCCCAAAGUCAUGGUUAAGUGGGAAACGAUGUGGGAAGGCCCAGACAGCCAGGAUGUUGGCUUAGAAGCAGCCAUCAUUUAAAGAAAGCGUAAUAGCUCACUGGUCGAGUCGGCCUGCGCGGAAGAUGUAACGGGGCUAAACCAUGCACCGAAGCUGCGGCAGCGACACUGUGUGUUGUUGGGUAGGGGAGCGUUCUGUAAGCCUGUGAAGGUGUGCUGUGAGGC